rnacentral:rRNA from 1 species
GACGAACGCUGGCGGCGUGCUUAACACAUGCAAGUCGAACGGUGAAGCUCCAGCUUGCUGGAGUGGAUCAGUGGCGAACGGGUGAGUAACACGUGAGCAACCUGCCCCUGACUCUGGAAUAAGCGCUGGAAACGGCGUCUAAUACUGGAUACGAGAAGGGUCCGCAUGGGCACUUUCUGGAAAGUUUUUCGGUUGGGGAUGGGCUCGCGGCCUAUCAGCUUGUUGGUGAGGUAAUGGCUCACCAAGGCGACGACGGGUAGCCGGCCUGAGAGGGCGACCGGCCACACUGGGACUGAGACACGGCCCAGACUCCUACGGGAGGCAGCAGUGGGGAAUAUUGCACAAUGGGCGAAAGCCUGAUGCAGCGACGCCGCGUGAGGGAUGACGGCCUUCGGGUUGUAAACCUCUUUCAGCAGGGAAGAAGCGAAAGUGACGGCACCUGCAGAAGAAGCACCGGCUAACUACGUG